UAUUCUGUAGCAAGGUUAACCGUAUAGGGGAGCCGGAGGGAAACCGAGUCUUAACCGGGCGUUAAGUUGCAGGGUAUAGACCCGAAACCCGGUGAUCUAGCCAUGGGCAGGUUGAAGGUUGGGUAACACUAACUGGAGGACCGAACCGACUAAUGUUGAAAAAUUAGCGGAUGACCUGUGGCUGGGGGUGAAAGGCCAAUCAAACCGGGAGAUAGCUGGUUCUCCCCGAAAGCUAUUUAGGUAGCGCCUCGUGAAUUCAUCUCCGGGGGUAGAGCACUGUUUCGGCUAGGGGGCCAUCCCGGCUUACCAACCCGAUGCAAACUGCGAAUACCGGAGAAUGUUAUCACGGGAGACACACGGCGGGUGCUAACGUCCGUCGUGAAGAGGGAAACAACCCAGACCGCCAGCUAAGGUCCCAAAGUCAUGGUUAAGUGGGAAACGAUGUGGGAAGGCCCAGACAGCCAGGAUGUUGGCUUAGAAGCAGCCAUCAUUUAAAGAAAGCGUAAUAGCUCACUGGUCGAGUCGGCCUGCGCGGAAGAUGUAACGGGGCUAAACCAUGCACCGAAGCUGCGGCAGCGAACGUAUCACCCAAGACAACUUUACGGAGUUGACGAUUGACGGAGCGAAGCGACGUCAAAGCGUUCAUUAAAGUCGAGUUGGCUUAGGGAUACGUUCGUUGGGUAGGGGAGCGUUCUGUAAGCCUGUGAAGGUGUGUCGUGAGGCAUGCUGGAGGUAUCAGAAGUGCGAAUGCUGACAUAAGUAACGAUAAAGCGGGUGAAAAGCCCGCUCGCCGGAAGACCAAGGGUUCCUGUCCAACGUUAAUCGGGGCAGGGUGAGUCGACCCCUAAGGCGAGGCCGAAAGGCGUAGUCGAUGGGAAACGGGUUAAUAUUCCCGUACUUGGUGUUACUGCGAAGGGGGGACGGAGAAGGCUAUGUUGGCCGGGCGACGGUUGUCCCGGUUUAAGCGUGUAGGUGUGUGUUCCAGGUAAAUCCGGUUCACUUUAACACUGAGGCGUGACGACGAGGCACUACGGUGCUGAAGCAACAAAUGCCCUGCUUCCAGGAAAAGCCUCUAAGCAUCAGGUAACANNNNNNNNNNNNNNNNNNNNNNNNNNNNNNNNNNNNNGGAGCUGAAGUCAGUCGAAGAUACCAGCUGGCUGCAACUGUUUAUUAAAAACACAGCACUGUGCAAACACGAAAGUGGACGUAUACGGUGUGACGCCUGCCCGGUGCCGGAAGGUUAAUUGAUGGGGUCAGCGCAAGCGAAGCUCCUGAUCGAAGCCCCGGUAAACGGCGGCCGUAACUAUAACGGUCCUAAGGUAGCGAAAUUCCUUGUCGGGUAAGUUCCGACCUGCACGAAUGGCGUAAUGAUGGCCAGGCUGUCUCCACCCGAGACUCAGUGAAAUUGAACUCGCUGUGAAGAUGCAGUGUACCCGCGGCAAGACGGAAAGACCCCGUGAACCUUUACUAUAGCUUGACACUGAACAUUGAGCCUUGAUGUGUAGGAUAGGUGGGAGGCUUUGAAGUGUGGACGCCAGUCUGCAUGGAGCCGACCUUGAAAUACCACCCUUUAAUGUUUGAUGUUCUAACGUGGACCCGUAAUCCGGGUUGCGGACAGUGUCUGGUGGGUAGUUUGACUGGGGCGGUCUCCUCCUAAAGAGUAACGGAGGAGCACGAAGGUUGGCUAAUCCUGGUCGGACAUCAGGAGGUUAGUGCAAUGGCAUAAGCCAGCUUGACUGCGAGCGUGACGGCGCGAGCAGGUGCGAAAGCAGGUCAUAGUGAUCCGGUGGUUCUGAAUGGAAGGGCCAUCGCUCAACGGAUAAAAGGUACUCCGGGGAUAACAGGCUGAUACCGCCCAAGAGUUCAUAUCGACGGCGGUGUUUGGCACCUCGAUGUCGGCUCAUCACAUCCUGGGGCUGAAGUAGGUCCCAAGGGUAUGGCUGUUCGCCAUUUAAAGUGGUACGCGAGCUGGGUUUAGAACGUCGUGAGACAGUUCGGUCCCUAUCUGCCGUGGGCGCUGGAGAACUGAGGGGGGCUGCUCCUAGUACGAGAGGACCGGAGUGGACGCAUCACUGGUGUUCGGGUUGUCAUGCCAAUGGCACUGCCCGGUAGCUAAAUGCGGAAGAGAUAAGUGCUGAAAGCAUCUAAGCACGAAACUUGCCCCGAGAUGAGUUCUCCCUGAGACUU
rnacentral:rRNA from 1 species